rnacentral:rRNA from 1 species
GCGGACGGGUGAGUAACACGUGGGUAACCUACCUAUAAGACUGGAAUAACUCCGGGAAACCGGGGCUAAUGCCGGAUAACAUAUCGAACCGCAUGGUUCGAUAGUGAAAGACGGUCUUGCUGUCACUUAUAGAUGGACCCGCGCCGUAUUAGCUAGUUGGUGAGGUAACGGCUCACCAAGGCAACGAUACGUAGCCGACCUGAGAGGGUGAUCGGCCACACUGGAACUGAGACACGGUCCAGACUCCUACGGGAGGCAGCAGUAGGGAAUCUUCCGCAAUGGGCGAAAGCCUGACGGAGCAACGCCGCGUGAGUGAUGAAGGUCUUCGGAUCGUAAAGCUCUGUUGUUAGGGAAGAACAAAUGUGUAAGUAACUGUGCACAUCUUGACGGUACCUAACCAGAAAGCCACGGCUAACUACGUGCCAGCAGCCGCGGUAAUACGUAGGUGGCAAGCGUUAUCCGGAAUUAUUGGGCGUAAAGCGCGCGUAGGCGGUUUUUUAAGUCUGAUGUGAAAGCCCACGGCUCAACCGUGGAGGGUCAUUGGAAACUGGAAAACUUGAGUGCAGAAGAGGAAAGUGGAAUUCCAUGUGUAGCGGUGAAAUGCGCAGAGAUAUGGAGGAACACCAGUGGCGAAGGCGGCUUUCUGGUCUGUAACUGACGCUGAUGUGCGAAAGCGUGGGGAUCAAACAGGAUUAGAUACCCUGGUAGUCCACGCCGUAAACGAUGAGUGCUAAGUGUUAGGGGGUUUCCGCCCCUUAGUGCUGCAGCUAACGCAUUAAGCACUCCGCCUGGGGAGUACGGUCGCAAGACUGAAACUCAAAGGAAUUGACGGGGACCCGCACAAGCGGUGGAGCAUGUGGUUUAAUUCGAAGCAACGCGAAGAACCUUACCAAAUCUUGACAUCUUUUGACCACUCUAGAGAUAGAGUUUUCCUCUUCGGAGGACAAAAUGACAGGUGGUGCAUGGUUGUCGUC